AAAAAAAAUGGGCGAAACGCCCAUCUUCUUACUCUGGUGGUCGCAUCUAGGCCGCACAUUAAACCCGUACGCCCAGCGACUUUGCGAUUAUAGCGUUUU
rnacentral:sRNA from 2 species